GAAAGAGUUAACUGGGCAGAUACCUGGAGGAAGCACAUUCCAGGCAGAGAAAAUAGCAGGAGCAAAGACCUCAGGGCAAGAGCCUGCCUGGCUGGUUAGAGCAACUGCAAGAAACUGCAAAGAACGAUAAGGAGGCCAGUCCGCCUGGAGCUAGUGCACUCUUAGGACACAAGAGGAGAAUUUGUUUCACUAAAACAAGGGGAUACACCAGGAGAGAGGAAGAAUAGGAACCAGGAGACGGCGUCUUCAUCACAAGAUAGCGGCGGAGGAAAUCCCCAGAAUGAUGGUGAAUCGAGGAUUCCAGAUGACGAUGAUGCCGCAGGCUUAGAGGGACCAGUUCGUACUGGAGCGAGUCGGAGGAAGGCUGCAGAGCGGACUUCUUCAAGGAGAUGGACUCAACAGUUACCUGAUGAGAGCAAAUACACUUGAGAGAAUAUUUACACAGCUGGUGGAAAGUUUGAAGAUACAUUAAGAUAAGUACAUAGAAAACUAAGCAAAUAAAAAUCCAGGGACCCGCCCGGUGGCACAGCAGUUAACUGUGCAUGUUCUGCUUUGGCGGCCCGGGGUUCCCGGUUUGGAUCCUGGGUGUGGACACGGCACUGUUUGGCAAGCCAUGCUGUGGCAGGUGUCCCACAUAUAAAGUAGAGGAAGAUGGGCACGGAUGUUAGCUCAGGGCCAGUCUUCCUCAGCAAAAAGAGGAGGAUUGGCAGCAGUUAGCUCAGGGCUAAUGUUCCUCAAAAAAAGAAACCAAAAAACUAGACCCUUUUUUAAGGGAAAACAAAACUAAAAAUAAAAGUUGCCAAUUGAUUGUAAUACACGUCAUGAUUUCAGAGAUAUUAGUGUGAACAAACAUACAUGUUAGAAUAAAAAUCCAGUAGUUCAUUUAGUAAGGGCCUGUGCAGGGCAGGAAUUUCUUACUUUUUACAUGUGGAAAUCCGCCCCCCCCGCCACAUACUCUCUGGAAUAAUAAUUUGGCUGAGUAUAAAUUUCUUUCAGUCCUGAGGAUUUUCUUCAAUUCUAGAAAAAAACUCAGUAAUUUUCUCUUAAAAUAUUGCUUUUUCUACCAUUGCUUUCAAUUCUCUUUCUCUAGAACUCCUAUUUUAAACAUUUGAAAUAUUUAACCCUUUUUAUCUGUUCUCCAUAUUUUUAACUGCUGUUUCUUUUUAUCUUGUGCUGUAUUUUGAAUGAGUUCCUCAGCUUUCUCUUCCAAUUCCCUAAUCUACUCUUUGACUGUAUUCAAUCUAGAGUUUCUCUCAUUUAUGGCCUUUUAGAUUUCAACUAGGAUGUUUUUCCUUUCAAAGAUUUCCAAUUGGUUAUCAUUCACAUUAUUUCAUUUUAGCUUAAAAAUUUCCUUUUGAAAUGGAAGGUGUGCACUCAUCUCUGAACAUUUCAACAAACUAUUUUAAAGUCUUUUUAUA
rnacentral:lncRNA from 1 species